rnacentral:ncRNA from 1 species
UAUUCUCAGGGCGGGGUGAAAGUCCCCACCGGCGGUAUUCCCCCUAUCCGGGGGGAGAGCCCGCGAGCGCCCUCCACGUGGAGGGGUCAGCAGAUCCGGUGAGAGGCCGGAGCCGACGGUAACAGUCCGGAUGAAAGAGAAA